CAGCAGCCGCGGGAAUACGGAGGAUCCAAGCGUUAUCCGGAAUCAUUGGGUUUAAAGGGUCCGUAGGCGGUCUUGUAAGUCAGUGGUGAAAGCCCAUCGCUCAACGGUGGAACGGCCAUUGAUACUGCAGGACUUGAAUUAUUGGGAAGUAACUAGAAUAUGUAGUGUAGCGGUGAAAUGCUUAGAGAUUACAUGGAAUACCAAUUGCGAAGGCAGGUUACUACCAAUUGAUUGACGCUGAUGGACGAAAGCGUGGGUAGCGAACAGGAUUAGAUACCCCCAGUAGUCCCUGUCUCUUAUU
rnacentral:rRNA from 1 species